AAGUCGUAACAAGGUUUCCGUAGGUGAACCUGCGGAAGGAUCAUUACAAUACGUUACUUCACGUAUCAACCCAAACUGUUGAACUGUAAAAAGGCGUCCGAUAGGAAAGACAUUUUCAUGGGUUACGAGAGACUGGCGGCUUUGAAGUUGUGCACUUCGGUCGGUUUCUCUUUUUUGUUUCUGAGCAAUCGGAGCAAAAAGCCCCGUUUUUCCUAGUUCGCGUAUUUAUUUUUACAUUUUUUAACCCCUUUCACCAAACUAUUAUUUCAACAACCCAUUGAACUGAAUUCGAAGGAUGCUGAAAAGCGUCUAUUUCGAUUCUAUCUUUACGAAACGUAAGAACAACUCUUAACAACGGAUAUCUUGGCUCCC
rnacentral:misc_RNA from 1 species